GGCUUGAGAUGGCUGCUGCUGCGAGGAAACGAGCCUCGCAGUUCUCAGAACAAAGAUUUUAUCAAGAUUUCAAGUCUGCAGUUCGACCAAUUCUGUCAAAUACCACUCCAUGACUGAAUCUAUCAUACAUACUACACAGCCUCAACAGGUAGACCGACGAUGACGACUUAAUUUACCUCCUUUUGCAGUCAAAAUAUAACUUAUCUUCCUUCGUCUUCUCUAUUUUAUGGUUAUGCACCCCCAGAGAUAUUUAUCUUAGUAGAGAAAGAGGAGAAGCUGAUCAAUACUACUAACUGCUUGUUUGUGGUAUUCAAGAGAUUUUAAUUUACAUGCCAUAUCAAGAGAGACAAUCUAAAGCUUUAAUUUGCAAAUCAUAAUUGAAAUAAUUCUCACUUUUAGUAUACACAAAUUUGGAGUAUUUAACUCCGUUCAUGCCCUGCAACUCCAUAUCUUUGCUGCUAGAUUAAUCCCUUCUUCAAAUUAGAAUAUGAUGUUCAUCUUCUUCAAGUUUUCACCUAUUGUGCAAUCACUUACUCGAGGUGAUUAUGCGAUAUCACACAUCGAAUAAAUAAUGAAUGUCGAAGCAUUAUAUGUACGAGGUCAAUGAACUCACCAUUUUUGGCAAUAUGGGGAUUGAUAUUAAAUCAGAAAUCACAAGAUUGUGUAUGCCAAAAUAAUACUACCACAUGGUGAUUGGGAUUGAUUGGUUUGGAAGGAGCCCUUGUGUUAUGAGACAUGUCACUUCAAACUAUGCCAUAAGUGGGAGUGAAGUAGUCAUCGACUACUGUUUGAGAGUAACCUCGUUUUUGGAUUGUAGCACACUAUGCUGUCUUAAUUUUGCCUCAUGAGAAUGGGGCCUAAGGAUAGUGGCCAUUUUGUUUACUUGCACCUAACCAGAUCAACAACUCGUUGCAAUUUUAGUACCAUGUUCAUGAUUACAUGUGGGUAUGCUUCAUCUUCAUCAUCGUUUUGCACUCCAUCUUUAUCUUAUUGUUGCUAUUCCUGUGAAUAAAAAACAUGAGAUGGAAUACGAAGAUGAUCAGAUUUGUUUAAAAUGUCUUGCUGCUGAGUUUAAAAAUACUAGUAUAUGAUUUUCACAUGAAUAUUGUGUACCGAGUAAAACUUAAAGAGUUAAUUGUACACGGACAGCUAAUAGAUCUUUCAUUUUUCCUUCUGGCCAACGUGACUGGUGCACAUUGCCAGAUAAAAUAAUCGGCAAAUAUCACUUUAAACCUUAAAUUAUUUUCAGACUACUAAUAAAAGUGGGCAUCUUCUUCUACUAAUAACAUACUCACCUAACAUUUAUUAAAACUUGUGUCAUCAACAAUUAUACACACUUUUAUGGGACGAAUGAUUAUUAAUUGUAUCUUUCAUUUUUUUUUUUACGGUAAUUGUACCCUUCAUUCAUUUUUCAUCGUCUGAAUUUUUAAUUAGUAAGACAUGCAAUGAUGGUGGUUAAUUUAGGUUUUAAAAAAAAUGAGUAAAUUUAUAUACAUUGUGGCAUUCAACUAACAACGUCAAAUUUUCAGAGCCCAAAAAAUGGACAAAUGGUACAAAUUGAUACAAAAUUGAUAGUUCAAGAUUUAAAAAAGAUAUUUUCUGUAAUUCAGGAUAUUACUCGAUAGUGCAAAAAUAAUUUGAAACUUAAAGUGAUAUUUACCCUAAAAUAAUUGGUCAUUCAUAAUUUAUGUAUCAAAUACUCUCUCUGUCCACCAAUUCUUGACCUAUUUUUCCACUUUGGACCAUUACUAAUACUCAUUCCAUUUUUAGUAAGUUUUUCAUUCAAAAGUGGAACCCUCAUUCCACUCACAAUAUAUUCCAUCAAUUUCUUAAAAUCUGUGCCAUUAUGAAAUGGGUCAAGAAUUAGUGGACAAAGGAAAUAUAAGUUAAGUCAUGAUAUAUAAUUUUAAAACAUUCAAUAGACAUCGUUACUUGCAUUAUGCACCAUAAUAUUAGUUUUCUACUUUACAUGACUUGCAUGCACCAUAAUACUCCACAGUUCAUAAAAUAUCUUUCUAAGAAUUAGGGAUGUCAUUGCAGCCCGAAACCCGUGGGCCGACCCGAAUAACCCGACAAAAUUAGAGGGUUAGGGUUGAAAAAUCGCAACCCGAAAAAACCUCCAGCCCGAUUAGCCCGCACCCGACUAACCCGGAACCCGAUAGGGCUAGCCCGAAAACCCGAUGGGCUGGCCCGGUGGGCUGACGGAAUUGUGACUGAUGCAUCCAGUUACAACUUCUGCUAUGUUUAGAUCUAUGGUAUUUGCUUAAAUAUAUAUAUGUAGCCUCAUUAAAAAAGUGAAAUUAAUUAGUUAGAAUAUAUAUGUGUGUGUGUGUGCAAUCUCAUUUAAAAAAGUGAAUUUAAUUACGGAUUUUUUGUAGAAAUUGAUUAUUAGUAUCUCAUUAGUUAGAAAUUAAUUAUUAGUAUCUCAUUUUAAAGUGAUACCUAUUUUUUUUUCUGUCAAUGAGACGUGCAUGGCAAAUCCACUAAUUAUUCAGUAAUAAUCCAGAUUGAUUCUAGUGCAUUGAUACAUGUUAAAUUUUACUAUCUCAUUUUAAUAUAAUUUUGUUUAUGUAAUCUUGAAUAUCUUAUAUUUUUGCAUUUCAUGCUUUGCUAUAUAAUUUAUAUCUUUAAUAUCUAUGUAUAUUUUAUACAUUAUGCAUUAGAUCAUUAGGAAUAAUAAAAUACAAAUGAUAAUUUUAUUUUUACGCCUUUAGCCUGAUUAGCCCGAUGGGCUAGCCCGAAACCCGAAAGUUUAGGGUUAGGGUUGAAGAUUUACAACCCGAAAAAAUCUCCAACCCGAUUAGCCCGCACCCGACUAACCCAGAACCCGAUAGGGCUAGCCCGAAAACCCGAUGGGCUGGCCCGAUUGACAUCCCUACUAAGAAUGCGACACACAUUUAUAAAAAAAAUUAUGUAUUUGAUGAGUGGAAAAAUGAUCCCAUAAAUUAAAAAAAUGAUGAUAGUUAAUGAGUUAUUUUAAAAAAUGAUUAGUCCAUUAAGAGCAUUAUGUGUAAAUUUAUGAAAAUUGCAAAAGUGACAGUUAAUUGGACUUGUUUCUAAAAUAACAUGAGCAAAAUAUUUCGUCGGCAGACGAAAAUGAAAAGCUGAAAAAUAUUUCAUGAGCUGAAAGAGUAUUAAUUUUCUACUUAACAUGACACAUUAUGGGAAUAUCAAUAGUGGUCCACAUCAGUGUCUUAUUUUGAGACUAAAUCCUAUGUAUAUCAUACAUAGAUAGGGAAAUAAAAGAUAUCAAUGAAUAAACGAAAGAUGAGAUCAAAUGUCAAAUACACGCCAUAAAUUAAUAUAUUACAACUUCUUUCAAAUACUGGUCAAUAAUGUCCAAUCAUGAGAUUAUAGAGGAAAGAUAAUUAAUACUCCCUCCAUCCCACGAAGGAUGAAACAGUUUCUUUUUGAUUUGUCCCAUAAAAUUUGACCUGUUUCUGAAAAUGGUAAAAAUUUAACUUUUUAUUCAGCUUUUCACUUUUUCACUUAUCACGUUUAACACACAAAAUACCAAUUUCUUAAUUCUCGUGCCGAAAAGAACUAGGUCAUGCUUCAUGGGACAGAGGGAGUAUAAUAUUACUAUAUAAAAUUAUGAUAUAAAAUCACAAAUUUUCAGAUAUGCUCUGAUACCACAUGAUGUAUACAUAAUUUUCAUGGGGAAUUUAGAAUUUCACAAUUUUUCAUUUUUUAAGUACAAUAGAAAUACUAACCUUAAUAAGUCUUAUUAUGUUUAGUGAUGGCAAUAAUAUAAAUUGUUUUAUCUUUCCUUAGCAAAAAUCCCUUUUAGUGAUAAGAAAGACCAAUCGUAUACUAUAUAAGAUGAAUAUCAGUUAUUUAGAUCAUAGAGUCUAAAUAACUAAAAUUAUGAUAUUUUAUGUAGAUCAUUAGCAAAUCUUAAAGCCAAAACAUGCACUUGAGAUCUAGCUAGUGUCCCACUUUCUUGAUAUCACUUUAAGUUUUAUUUAAAUUUUUUCUUCAAUUUCAAUUUCUCGAAUUUUAAAUUUAAUUUUGUACCGUGAAACAUGAAUGUAAGACCCAAAAUGUAGUGAAUCUGAACCACAAAACAUGAGCAUUAAAUCGAUCAUGUUUAUUUUGAGGGAGGUUAAAUCGAUCAUGUUAAAUACUGAAGUUCAUCCAUCGUGUCAAAAGGCCAACAACCGACCAGUAUGCUCUCUCUUUAAGAUCCCAAUAGUUCAAAAAAGAGAAGUGAUUACCUCCACAGUCCACACCCACUAAACAUUCUCUCUUCUCAAUCUUAUUACUCCCUCGCUCCGUUCUGCGAAGCUUAAUCACAUUUUUUUCAACACGAGUUUUAAGAAGUUAAUAUUUAAUGUGUUAAAUGUAGUAGUUGAAAAGGUAAAAAAGGUGAAUAAAGAAAAAAACUUUUGUCAUAUAAAAAAAGUAAUCAAGUUACGUAGAACAACCCGAAAAUAAAUACUGAUGCAAGCUUCGCGGAACAGAGGGAGUAUAUAUUAUAAAAAAAAAAACAAUUUUGCAUGUGUUUGUUUACAUAAAAUAUAGUACUACUAAUUUUCAUGUAUUAAUAAAUUGAAGUACGUACGGAAUUAAAAAACUACGUACUUAGAUUUGGAGAUGUUAGUUAGGCAAAUAACGACACUAAUAUAAAGAAGAGGGAAAACUUCGAAGAAAAUCUUACUCCCUCCGUCUCCUUAAAAACAUGCGGCGGAGUGAGUAUCAAUGAUAUAUACGAGUUUUAAAAAAUGUUAGAUGAGAGUGUAUCGACUAAGAAUAACUCUCAGUUUUCAUUUUAAAUUAUAAAAAUACUCAUUUGAAUUUCUUCAUAUAUACAUGAUUAGGUUAUAGUGAGAACGCUAUUUUUCGUGAGAAAUAAGAAUACCGGAUAAGUUAUUAUAAAUCCAUGAACAACAUAUUCAGAUAACAUGAUGAAAUUUUUGUCUUCGAAAAUCCGAACCCAUGUUUGAACAAAAUUUUUUAUUUACUUAUUCAUAUUAAUUUUUAUUCUCACAAAAAAUAACAUUAUCACUGAAUCAUUUCUCUAUGGAGACGUUUGGCUUGAGUGAUAAGACAUGAUUGAUAAAAUAAAACACAUCACUCAAAAUAGUGAAUUUUAUACUCAAAAUUAGAUGAAUUGUUUUAUCAUCCCUUCAAACCUAUCAAUCUUAUGUAUCAGAUCCAUCAAAACGUAUUCUAUAUAGUAUAUAUGGUGGAUUAAUUUACAAGUAGCUAAGAAAUGUGAGAAGGACCUACUCAAUGACUUAGGCGUGAAAGUAAUAAUUGAAGGAGUUUUGUAGUUUAAUGGAGGACCAUCUUUUUCAGCCGGAUUUUGGUUUAUGUAAAGUGAAAUGGACCACAAUAGUGAAAUGAUUGAGAUGAGCAACUAUGUUAAUUAUUCUUAUCAUAAAACAAUUUAUAUCUACCACUUAUUUAACCAAAGAUCUCACUCAUAUAUACUUUAUACUUAUCUUCAAUGUGCACUACUGUUGAUAUGGAUAGCUUUCAAAUGAUUUUUUUCGCAUCUAUUAAAGCAUCCACAAUCACAAACUAGCGUCUCCGGCUUGCAGGUGGGCCCCUCCGUUCAAGCCAUCGAGUUCUGCAGCGCUCGAGCCCCAUCUCACAGCCUGACUCGCCCCAUGUCUCCGACUGUGUUUGCACGCGCCUUUCUCUUCUUCCCUCUUCCACACCGAGCUCGUGGACAAGAAUCGCGGUGGACACCCCCAGGCCGACAGCGGUACGGGGCUCGUGUCCGCUCCGCGAUCCUCAUUGUGGAUGCUAUUAUUUGCUUUUUUAUCAUUUACUUUUUACUAAAUCUUGGGUGCAACGUCCCGCAACCUAAUUUUAUUAAUUAAUUAUAUUUUAAUUUUUAUUUUUUCUUAAUUCGGAUAUUCAGGUUUAGUAAUUCAUAAUUGGAAUUUUUCAUCUACAAAAACCAUAAUUAGAACUUAGUCAUAUAUAAUUAAAAUUAAUUAUCUCCGACAAGGAUUUAGUACUAAUUUAUACCUUGAGUUAACUAGAAACCAAUCCAAAUUAUUGAUGCUUUUAUGACCUACGUUAAUAGUUUUCCAAAGAAGCAAUAUUAUAUACAAAUAAGUAGUAUCACAAAAUAAGCAAAUGUACAGUGUGUAUAAAUAAAUCAACCAUAAUAAAACAAGCAUUGGUGUGUAUAUAAAAUUAUAAAUAAACAAAAUCAUUUAUUUCAUUUUGAUUUGCUAUGUGAAAAAACCUUUUAUAACUUUCAUGUUGGUCACUCACUUGUGAUAAAAGUUUUUAUUUCGUUUCUCAUUUUAUAGGUAGUGACAAGUGACACUUGAUACAAAAUAUAGUAUAUAUAUAAAUUCUCAAUUCUAUCAUUACCUUAUUGCUAACUCAACUCACUGUACGAAUUCAACACAUAAAUAUAACNGACAAGUGACACUUGAUACAAAAUAUAGUAUAUAUAUAUAUUCUCAAUUCUAUCAUUACCUUAUUGCUAACUCAACUCACUGUAUGAAUUCAACACAUAAAUAUAACUAUAUAAGCAGGGACGGAGUCAGGAAUUAAGUUCGGGGGGUUGAACUUGUACGGGGGUUCGGGGCGGUAGCCCCCGAGAAAUUUUUUUUGGGCAUUCUGUAUAUUUAAGGUAUUUUUUUAUUAAAAUACGAGCAUAAUACUAAUAAUAACGAACAAUAUUUUCAUAGAUUAUAUAGUUUCAAUAUAUCACAAAACUUUUUUUGGACAUUCCGUAUAUUUAAGACAUUUUUUAUUAAAAGGCAAGCAUAAUAAUAAUAAUAACAAACAACAUGUUCAUAGAUUAUAUAUUUUCUAUAUAUUACAAAUUAGUUUCAAUACAUUAUAAUUUUUUUUAGCAUUUCAUACAUAUAUUAGGCAUUUUUUAUUAAAAGACAAGUAUAAUAGUAAUAAUAACAAACAAUAUUUCAUAGAUUAUAUAGUUUUAAAUAACAGAAUUAUACUUAAAUUAAGUAUAUAUGAGAAAAUAUAAUAACCAAAUACUCUUUUAUAAAAUAAAAUUAUUUUAUAAUAGGUAUAAACAUAUAUCUAUAUAUAUUUUAAAUUUAUUUAAAAAAAAAAACUACAAAAUUUAGAGGGGCUUUAACCCCCGGCUCCGUCCCUGUAUAUAAGUGUGACACGUAAAACUAUCGGAAACGACAAAUGAAAAAAAAAAAACAAUCAGUGACCAAAAUAAUAAUAAAUGCGAAGAUAGAUUGUUAUCAUUUAUAUCAAUGUCUUGCAUACGAAUCUCAAAAUAUCUUAAUAAUUAUUAGUGACAUGAGUGGUGGAAAAAAGUCGGUAAAAGCAAAGAAGAAACCAAAAUGAAUUAGUUAUUAUUGAAUUCCAAUUCGACACGCCAGAAUAAAACAGUAUUUCAAUUUGUAUUUUGUUGAUAAAAUUACAAUAAAGUGAGAUAUACGAGUGAAUAAAAAUCAUGACAAACUUCAAUCUUUCACAUUUAAUGUUAUUUCCUUACCAUCUCCAUCAUCAAAUAAUAUGUUUCUCCGCAUAUUGCGCUCAGCCACUCGUAGAGAAAAACAAAAAAUAAUAGCGUGGAAUUUCGGAAUAUCUCCAACAAUAGAAAAAUUAAUUAAACUACUAUUUCAAAAAAUUAGUAGUUCAAACCGGUAUAUGAAAAAUAUUUAGUACUAAUUUAAUGUGUUAUUGAUAUCAGAUAGAUCGAUGAGACACUUCGUUUGAGCUAAUAUAAUAGACAUAUUCCUCUAUUUUUGAAUAUGCGAUGCAUCCAUUCAAAUUAAAUCAUAAAUAUGUUUAAAUAAAUUAUAAUUAAAAAUUAAUAAAUCCUAUUUAAUAUUAAAAUACCUCCUCCAUCCAUAAAGAACGUGACAUGCACAUUUAAUUGGGCACAAAUUUUAGUAAAUAUUUUUUUUAUUGGAGAAAACAGUGGCACCAUAUUAAAUAAUGAAUAAUUAGGGUUAAAUUAUAAAAAUCGAGUGUGAAUCGUGUCUUAAAGAAAAUAAUACUUUAUUUGUGAAGGUCAAUAAGAUAAUUAUGUCACACUCUUGAUUAACAUAAUGAAUAAUAUGUAAACAUAAUUGCAUACAAGAAUCACUAACCAGUAACCACGUUGCAAUUGCAAACAAGUUUCUCGUAGUUCCCAAAAUAAAAAUUAUACUUCCUCUAUUCACAUUUUUUUUCUUCACAUUAUGUAUGAUACAAGUUUUAAUAAAAUAUAGAUGAAAUUGUGAAAUUAGUAAGAGUAUCACUUUAAAUAUGAGUAGAGUUAUGCGGAUCAUACUAUUAUAAAUAAUAGUGAUAAUUAAUUUCUUUAUGGAGAGAUCGAAAAAGAAAUUAUGACAAAUUUUUCAUGGACAAGACAAGAAUAUAUUUAUAUUGAAAUUCCUAAACCAUACUUCAUUCGUCCACACGAAAAAGGGACCUACUCACCACUUUUUUUUUUGUCUAUGAAAAAAAGUUUCAUUUCACUUUUUGAAUUAUCGUAUCUACCUUAUCUCCUAUAUAAAUUUAACUAUAAAUUGUACUUUUAUUUUAUUUUUUAAUUAACAGUAUAUUUUUAUUUCAUUUUUACAAUCACACUACCUUUAUAAAUUAGAUAUCUUUAUUCUACUUGCAAUAAUUUUAAUAAUUUUAUUAAAAUUUGUGUCCACGCUGAAAUAAAACUCUUUUUCAUUAAUAAUUUUCUUGAACGAAACUCCUUUUUACGGAUGAAUAGAAUAUCAUAUAUAAGUCAAAUUAACAAUCUCUCCAUACAAGACUGAAUUCCAAAUCUCGUCGUUGCAAAAAGUCUCGAAUCUUCCUAAAAGCACGCGCAUGUUUAAUUUCAAGAUAAUAAAAUGAUACACACAGUAUUAAUUCCUCCGUCCCAUUCUAAUAGGUUCGUUUUACUUUUUAAUACGUUCCACUAGAAUAGCUAUUUUCAUUUUGAGUAAAGAAAAUAUAUUUAAUUGGUGGUACCACACCACUUUCCUCCUAUAAAUAAGUUUCUUAUCUCAAUGCCAAAAGAAGUGAGUCUAUUAGUGGGACGGAUGGAGUAUAUUAUAAGUAAUUACUCCCUCCGUCCACUAAUUCAAGGUCUAAGAGAGUAAACACGAGUUUUAAGAAAGGGAUCUACAUUUUAUUAAAGUCAAAGCAAAAAAGCAUGAAUUGAAUGAAGAAAGUGUACUUUUGUGAUUAAAAUAUGAAUAAAUAUUUACUAAAAAUAGAUAAGUUUUGAAUUGGUGGACGGACUAAAAAGGCAAGUAGAACUUGAAUAAAUGGACGAAGAGUAUAUUUUAUAGGAUUAGUAGUGUUUUAUGUCCCGAACUUUCAUUUUCUCCUAAAAACCCCCGAACUUUCAGUUUUUUCAUAAAAUGUCCCGCUAUAUAAAAUUCGGUGACAAAAUGAUGAAUUAUCUCGCCGAAAGAAAUAUUGUGGGGACCAUCAUUAUUGGAAAAUCAUAUUAGGAACCACCAUUGUUAGAAAAUGCUGAAAGUUUGUGGUUUUUUUAUCAUCUUUCUGUUAUCGAAUUUUUUAUAGCGGGACAUUUUGUGGAAAAAACUAAAAGUUCGGGAUUUAUUAGGGGAAAAUGAAAGUUCGAGACAUUUUAUGAAAAAUGCUGAAAGUUCGGGACAUAAAACACUAUUAAUCAUAUUUUAUAUUCAAAAGUAUUAGGUUUAAGGUGAUCUAAUUACUCUACACUAAAAUUAGAAAAUUUGCAGCAACAGAAUUAGAUAAACGGUCCCCUUAAGAUAGAACCGUCUACACGUUUAAAUUCCAUUAACGCCGAGUUAGAUUUUUCAAAAAAAAUGAAGAGUGGUUAGGGAGAAGAAGAGUGAGAGAAAAGGACAAGCAUAUCGUUGGCAUAAUAUCCCAUUUGACUAUACUGAAAAAGUUAGCAGACAUGACACCAAUCGCCAUCUCCACAAGCACUAGAUGUGCUAUAAAACCUCUAUCUCUCCCCAUUUUCUCUUCCAAUUUCCUUCUCCUAGAUGGAAAACUGCUAUUGGCCGCAUGAUGCACCGCCAUGGCUCCUAUCCCCCGCCGCCGCCGCCGACGACAGAGCCGCCUCCGCUUCUAGAAGCCACAGCGAAGCAGAGAAGCGGCGCAGGGACCGAAUCAAUGCGCAGCUCUCCACUCUCCGGAAGCUCAUCCCCAAAUCCGAAAAGGUACGAAUCGACGCCAACUUAGUUUCACCCAAUUCUGAUUCAAAAAUUCUGCCUCCGAACACAUGAAUUUUUUCAAUCGUAUUAGUUUUCCACACGAUUAUCAAUCUAUCAAUUAGUUUUUCACACGAAGAAUUGAAUGAAUGUGCGUAGAUGGACAAGGCAGCUCUGUUAGGGCACGUGGUGGAUCACGUGAAGGAGCAGAGGCAGAGAGCGAAGGAAGCGAGCAAGAGCAGCAGCAGCAUGCCGAGCGAGAUCGACGAAGUGAUCAUCGACCAGCACCACGAAUCGGAGCACAUCAAGGCAUCAAUCUGCUGCGACGAUCGCCCCGAGCUCUUCGCGGAGCUCAAGGCGGCGCUGAAGCCGUUAGAAGCCACCAUUCUCGAAGCCGAGGUCACGAGCUUGGGAGGCAGAAUCAAGGCCAAUUUCAUCAUAUCUGCUGCAAUGGCGAACCAACACACGCUCAAAAUGGCCUUGACCCGACUCCUCAUCUCGUCCGGAUCCGGAUCGUCCGGUUACGGCACCCGGAGCAAGAGGCAGAGGUUCUUCUAUCCCACUUCGCGUUGAGUUGAACUAAUUUAUUUCUUUCUUUAUUAUUUUUAUUAAAUUAAUUAAUUAAUUAAUUAAUCCAUCAAUUAUAGUUUAGUGUGUGAUAUGAAAUGAAAGGUACACUUCUCCUUUAUGUACCUAAUCAUGGAGAAAUGUACGUGUUUGGUCUAUAUAGUGUGUUUGAGUGAAGUAGGAGGAUUCUUUCUUAAUAUUUGCCUAAUUAAUAAUUGUGGGGAAAAUAAGAUUUUCCACAAUAGGGGGGGAAUGAUAUUGGUUGAGGGAAAUAGGAAAAAAAAUAGUGUGGAAUAUUUGGAAAUUUGGAAUUUGUCGGACAUCGCUAAUUUUGCAAAUAUUUGUUGGCACCAACUCAGUUGAGUUGAUGAGUUGUACACGCAUCACAUGUACGGAUUUUACAAGCAUUUAAUUAAGUUUUUUAAUCAUGUUCUCGAUUUUAUUUUAUUUUAAUUUGAUUUUGGAUCCAUAAUUCUUGAACAUCGUUGGAAUAAGUGUCUCACUAAAGUCCUCAAAAUUCUCUUAAGUGAAAAUCGAAACAUGUAUUCCUAUUUUCAUGUCCUUACUAUAUAUAUAGUAUAUACUACUCCUUCCGAUCCGACCCACUUAGGAGUGUAAACUCUGGUUGCGGAUAUUGGGUAUAUCCUCAUCCGUCCCGAUACUCGCACGAGUAUCGGAUACCCGAUACCCGAUACCCACAAUAUCAAGAAAGAGGAUUGGUGCGGGGUAUUGUUUUCUCAAAAACUGUAGGUAUCGGGUACCCUUUGGGUACUUGCGGGUACCAGCAUGUAAUUUUUAAUUAAAUAAAUAAUUUUUAUAAUCAUUAAUUAAUUUUUAGGAAAUAUGAAAAUAACUUCCUAAGCCCUAGUCAAUCACUGCUCAAAUUUGCUUCGUCACAGGUUUUAUGGAUAAUCGAUGAAAUAGAAAGGGUAUUUUCAAAAAAAAUUCUAAAAUGAGGGACAAAAUACUCGCGAGUAAAAAGGAUACCCGCACAUCGCGGGACAAGAAUACUCCGACGGGAUAAAAUACCCUGAAGCGAAAAAACCCUCAAAAUUAAAAACAAUCAAAAAUUUGCAGGAAAUGAGGAUAUCCUCAUACCCGCAGCGGAUACUCGUUGCGGGUAUUCAGGUACCCGCAACAUGUAGGCGGGACGGGUGAAGGUGGGGGUUUCGGACGAUUUUGUCCCGCGAGUACCCGAAUUUACACUCAUAGUUCCACUAUUGUUGUCUCAUUUUUAUAAAAGACAACAAUUAACUUUUUAAAAGUUGUGAGUCGUACCACUUAUAACCACUUUACAGUUAUGAGACAAUAAUAAUAGGACGGAGGAAGUACUAAAAUACGAAAUUGAAUUUUUUUGUGUGAAGAGACUAACAUACAAAGAGACUAACAAUUUUGUUUGGUAUUAAAAUCUUAUGUGGUUCAUGCCAGUUUAAUCGUAUUUUUGGGCCGAAGCAACCAACAUAUUAGAAGUGGUUCAUUUCAUAUCAAAGAAAUCUAUGUACGAAGAAGGAUUCAUUUAACUUUCCCGACCUAGAGUAAAGCAAACAAAAAGAGUUUUGUCAGGGUAAAAGGGUAUAUAUUUUUAGUUUAGUUAUUGUACAUUUUUUUAAGAUUUUUUUUUUGUAAUUUAAAUUGAAUUGGUAAUAUGAUAUGCAUCUUGCAUUUUUUUAAAAGGGGCAAGAGAAAUUGGAUGGCUUAGGAUAGUAGCCACUAGCCAGUUCCAUUUUAGAAAAUUUAUAAGUCAGAAUUAUAAAAGUUUUUUUUUAUUAAAGGUUUUCACACUUUUUUCUUACUAGCAAAGAGUAGGUGUGUGUCGAUCCACAAACUUAACAUUAAUCAAAUAUAUUAGAGUUGAAUAAUUGCAAGAAAUUUCACAAUUAAAUAAACUAGAUUUUUCUUGUAGUUCGAAUCUAAUUCUUCUUCUUUUAACAGAAAAAUAAAGUAGAGCCACAGAUAGAUUUUUAGUAUAGAUGGAAGAUUAAAUCAAAUACAUUUUUAACGUAUAGUAUUUAAUAAGUUCAAUGUGUUCUUGUAGUAUCAUUUGAAUCUAAUUUUUCUUCUUUUCAGCAUAAAAGUAAAGCAAAACCACAUAUAAUUUUUUGUGUAGCAAUGGUGAAAUCAGAUCGAAUUUUAAUCCAUAUAUGAUGAACUAAUAUAUUAUUCUAAAUGUAUAAUACUAUAGUAUUAUUUUACAAAAUUGUAAGCACCAUCAAUUAGAUUUCAGUUCCAGCCCGCACUCAUUGAGCCUGUUUGAAUAUGGGCUGAAAUUAUAAGCACCAUCUGCAUUUUGCAUCACUUUAUUUAUCCAUUACUAUAUUUAUUUGCAUAUUUUCAAGCAGUUAUCCAGUUAUCAUAGUAUAAAAAAACAUUUAUUAUCAUUAUUAAUAUUAUCAUAGGAGGUCACAUUGCAUUAUAUAUUGUUGUAUUGCAAAUGCUUAUCCGAUUAAGUUUUGUCAAAAAAAAAAAGGAAUUAAAUGAAAAAGCUUUUAUUUAGGGUCGAAAGAAUAAAUUUUCUCAUCUUUUAGUAACUGAUGAUAAUAAUCGUACGCAUAUGAGACGUUUACUUUACAUGAUUAAUUAUUUUUAUCAUUAAGAAUAAGAUUUCUCCAAUCCCAUCAUUUGGGAUAAAAAUCAAGCAAAAUUAGUUUAAAUGAUAGAAAUAAAAGCUUUGGGGUAUUCAAAGUUUUAAUUCAUCAAAAUAAACAAAUGAUUAACCAUACUAUUUUUAUUUAUCAAUGCUAAUCCUCCAGAAUAAACGCCCUCGUAUAAUAUUGCAUUGAAUAACGUUAGCCAGUUAUGAACUUAUUAUCAUUUGAAAACACCAUAUAUACAUUACAUGAGAUAAUUUCAAAGAUAGAAAGAGAAAAAGAAAAAAAGUACUAUGUCUAGACAUUCACUAAAAAAGUAAGAGAGAAAAUCUAAGAACAAUGCUUUUCUUAAUUCUUAAGGGAUAAAAAGAUAGCCUUUUGUACGUAUUCUAUACCAAUAUACACGAUUGGUUUUUGUAUAUUAAUUCUCAUUGUUACCUUAAUAAUAUCUAUGAUAUAAGAGCAUAAAUCCUUUUGUUUUAUGUUAUUAUAUGGACUUAGUUUGUUGAUUUCAAAGAAUUAAAGAUAUGUAUUACCCUAUUCAUUAUUUUAUUUUAAAGUACAAUAAUUUCUUUUCAAUCGUAUAUAUACUAGUAAUAUAUAGUGUUUUCAAACAGUAACAUUGAACAUUCUAUGUACAUCUAUUUAAAAUUUUUGCAUUAAAUAUGACAGAAAUAGAACAUAAUAAUAUGUAUUUAAAGUAUAUAAUACACAAAACAGUAUCAUGACAUAUGGAUGCAUGAGAUAAUAUAAUUCAAACAAAAAAAAUUAUUUGUGUACAGGGUGUAGCUUAGAGAACGGGAUUAGCCUAUGAUCUCUUAAACGAGCUAAGCUGCAUGCAAGUCGGUUUGAGCUCAGCUCGUAUAAAUAUUCGAGUAUUAGAGUUCGCCUCAAGCUCGAGUCAAGCUUAUGUCAUAUGGAUCGAGUUUGACUCGCCGUCCAAUAAUCGAACUCAUCUCGUGUGAUACUUGAUAAUGUCAUAUCUGUGUUUGAGCUCGAGCUUGGCUCGUUCAGUAUUCGUAUAAAUGGUUCAAGCUUGAUAAAACUAAUUAGUGAAAUGCUAGAAAGAUAUUCAAAAUGUGCUCUUAAUAUUGAUCAAUCUAUUAUUUUUAGUGUGAAUUACUUUCUUCCCUCAUAAUACACUGAAACACAAUUAUUAAAACUCGUGUUGGAAGCAAGCUCCUGAAUAUGAAUUUAUAAGAGUCUCACAAAUAUAUGUAUACUAAAAGAAAUCAUAUAUAUUUCUUAUACUCCUUUUCUUCUCCAAGGGCUUUUCUUGUUGGAUUUUUUUAGGAGGUUUUAAUGAGACCUCUCCAAAUUUUUUAGUUUGCAAACUUCAUGGGAUCAGGAUUAUAAUUAUUUUUUUUGUGAUUUUCUAUGCUACUUUAUUCGUGACUUAUCAUGUAAUAUGUACAACUAAUUACUUCACUUGGUAGCACUAGGUUUAAUUGGUGCAAUUUAAGUGAGGUUUAGGUGUGAUACUUAACUUUCGUCUCGUUACAAUUAUCAAAAGAGAAGCGCUUUAGCAAGCUGGAAAAAAAUAACCGUAAAGUAAUGUCUAAUCCAAGUUACCAACAUCAAUCUCAAAUAUGCAUUAUACAGUCACUAAGUUAGGCCAAAAGUAGAUAACACAAAAUAUAAAUGAGUAAAUCCAACUUAUUAGGCACAUGCUUAAGCUAUUUUCACUAAAAUAAGUAGGUGAAAAGCAUACACAGACAAAAAGUGAAAAGGGGGGGAAAACAAAAAAAAGUUUUAUAUCCCGAAUUUUCAACAUUUUUCAUAAAAUGUCAUGAACUUUUUUUUUUUCUAAAAAACGUUGAAUUUUCAGCUUUUUACAUAAAAUGUACCGGUAUACAAAUUUCGUGACGAAAAUAAGACUUAUCUCGCUGGAUGAAAUAUUUUAGAGACCGGCAUUAUUGGGAAAUUAUGUUAGGAAUCACUAUUGUUGAAAAACGUUGAAAGUCUGAAGUUUUUUUUUUUUCGUCAUUGAAUUUUAUAUAGCAAGAUAUUUUAUUAAAAAUAUUUAAAUUUUAGAAUUAUUUAGAAGAAAAUAAAAUUUGAGAUAUUUUAUGAAAGAUAUAAAAUAGUAUUGACCCAAAAUAGAAUAAUAGAAGAAAGGAUCCCAAUCCAUGCAUUUCGCUUCGAUUUUCCCAUAUUUAUAAUUUUAGUAAAUUAUACAAAUGUAGAUACCCUUUAUACAUUCUCAACCAUAUAACAAUUUUAUCUUCGAAAUGUAAAAUUUAAAAUUUAAUGUGCCCGACAGAUUAUAAUGAACUCAAUCUUAAACUUUCUGAUAAACGAGUGGUUUUGAUUUAUUUAUUUUUAUGUAUUCCUCUAUAAAUAAAUGAGAGCAGCUGCCAAUGUAUAUAAUUAAAAGGUUCAGAUAAUGAAAUUAGGCCACACUUAGUAUAUUAAUUUAUUUAAUUUGUACUUUAUAUACUUUCCAUUACAAAAUUGAUUGACCAAUUUAGAUUCAAGUGGCGUAUUUAAAUGAGUAUAUAUAUUUAAAAGACGUUUAUUUCGAAUGAUUAGUCUUGAUGGAUAAAAAUAAUAAAAUUAAUUUCUUAUUUAUUUUGAUGAAUUGAAAUUUUAAAAUAUUUCAAGGUUCUUGAUUAUUUUUAUUAUUUAAGCUAAUUUUACUUAAUUCUUAUCUCAUUGAAAAUGUGGGAUCAAAGAAAUCAUACUAUUAAGGAUAAAAAUACUUAAUCAUGCAAAGUAAAUGCCCUCUAAAAAUAGAAGAAUAUAUUCUUCUACAUUUACUAAAAAUCUAAUAUGAAGACAGGUCGUGGUAUUGAGCAAAAUGUAUAGUCUAUUAAUAAGGAAUUUCAGUAUUUUUUUCAUAUUCUAUAAUGUCAGUGAAUAAAUAUAUAUGCAAAUUAUAUUUUUUUUCUGAAUGUUUUUCAAAAUUAACGUGGCAUCGAAAAUUUUAAUAAUUCUAAGCUCAAUUUUUAGAAAUUCUAGCCAGUCCCACGUCUAGCUAAUAAUUCCAAUUUCACGUAAAAUUCACAUUUAAUUUAUGAAUUUCCGGGCAAUUAAUCAUAAACUUUUUCAAUUCAUAUCUGGAAGAUAAAUUAAUUAUAUUCCACGACAUUGACAAUACAUGCACAUGAAUUUUAUAAGCUCGGGACUAAAAUAUUCCCUCCGUCCCACGGUAAGUGAGACCUUUUUUUUGGACAUGAGAAUUAAGAAAUGUGUAUUUUGUGUGUAGGUGAAAAAGUGAAAAGGUGUUUAAAGGGGAAAAAAUUUAUCCAAAAAAGAAAGAGUAUCACUUACAGUGGGAUGCCCAAAAUAAAAAGAGUCUCAGAUACAGUGGGACGGAGGGAGUAUAAUUUUAAAACUAUCAAACUAGAACUUCAAUAUUUAAUGGUAUUAAAAAAAUAAUUCAACAAACGUUGAUGUGGUGGUUUAAUAACCACGUCACCUAGACAUGUCAUUAUUUUCACAAUUAAAUAAAUAAAAAUCAACAUGCUAUUUAAAAAUAAUACUACUACUAAUAAUAAAUUAAACAAAGAAGCAGUGGCUUCGCCGACAACAUUGGUCAUGCUCUUCGCUCCAUGCCUUUUUCAGUCUCCCACCGUCGACAUAUUGCUCAGAAUUCUCCCUUAAACACGACAUUUCCAAUUUGUUUUUAAUCCAAUAAAUUUAAUUUUGUAUUAUGAGUUUUAUUAGUCUAAUCUUUGUAUUAAAGAACAAAUUAUCCUGCAAUUGUAUUAAACUUAUGAAAAUAAUAGAAUAUAGUUUGCUAUACAGUUAUUUAAUUGAUGGGUAAAAAAAUACACACAACUUACAAGAUAAGAUCUUAUAGUUUGCUACACAAUUAUUUAAUUAUCUAUUUUUAUUGAUCACUUGACAUAAAUGAAUUGUAUUUUUGUUGAAAUUAAAAAUCAUUAAAUAUUAGUAUUGGCAUAAAAAUAUUUAAUUAAUACAUCUACAAAUCUAAAACUUAUUUUAGGUACAAAUAAAUAUCAAGGUGUAACCAACACCCUCAAGAAAGGAAUGAAGUAUAAAAAUUGUGAAUCAUGUGAGGAGAUAAAAUAAAUUUAAAUUCUCACCUAAAAUUAGUUGGCUGAAGUUCGAACAACGAAAUUAUCCACACUUAUAAAAAAAAGAAAAAAUAGAAAGUGUAUUAUCCAAAUAUUUACAACAUUUCCAUCGAAGAUUCUCCUUUGAUUUAUACGACAAAAAAAGGCAGCAUCCAAACAAUCUGCACAAUUUGGAACAGUAUAUCCCCAUUUUCGAGGGAAAAAAAGUGAAGAAACAUUAGAAUAGUAAAGAAGGGGCGAGUCAAACAGGUGAGUCAACUCGGAUGGAGGCGCGGCAAAGCGGGCAACUCGACUGAGUUGUGAGCCACCUAUCGACGCACUCGGAGUGGAAGCAAUGGCGGCAGCGCGGCAGCACCUUGACCUUGUCGUCGUCGCCGAAUAUCCCGAGGCAUAUGCAGCACUCGCCGUCGGACAUGGACUCCCGGUGCAGCACGAUGGGGAUGCUGCUGAUGGAGGCGGCGUCCAGCCCCUGCCGCCGGGACAGCGCCGCGUGGGGCGCGGCGGUGCGCGGCUGGGGCGGCGGCGGCGGGCUGAAGCGGCACACCCAGCGCGCGUAGAGGAAGAGCAGCGCCACCAGCAGGAUGACGGAGAAGAGCACGACGAUGAAGAAGAGCGUGCGCCCCCGGAUUUGGAAGUUGCUGUCGUCGAAUUCCGCGUAGUGCCACUUGAAUGCCGGCUGCGCCGCCGCCUCCGCCUUGGACGACAUGCGAUUCGCGCCGCCGGAGAAUGAAUGAUGGAAUGGGAUUGGAUAAUUGAAUGUUUAGAUAUUUGGAUUGGAUUUCAAGAGUGGAGAGGGAGAGUGAGAGGGAGAGAGAGAGAAAGAGAGCGAGGGAGGGGUUUUUAAUAGAGUUUGAGUUUCCACUUGCACAAGUAGAUGUAGUUUUUUACCUGCAAAAGUAGAGGGGCGAAGCGAUGUUCCAUAAUUGCACGAGGGGGGAUUAGCAACUCGCGGUCGGCGGCGCGUGGCGGCGAUUGACGUAUUAAACGUGUGGGAUUUUGGGUGGCGGGGAGGGGAUCGACCACUCGCAGGCGGAGGCGCGUUGCGCGCACGUAGCGACAAAAGUGGUCGAGACGCACUUUUGCGGCGCGUUUGCGAGUCAAAGCGGCGAUUGGUGUUGAAAAAGAGCCAAUGUUUUAAACGGGACAAAUGUAUAUUUGAGAGAGAAAAAAUUAGGAGAUGGUCUAUUUUUGCUGGAUAUUAUCUGGAAAAUAUGAUAGCAGCAGAGAAUAAAGUUAAAUAAAAAGGAAUAGACAAUCUAUAAAAUAUCUUCUAAUCAAUAGACUUCAUAUAAAAAUAUCUUCUAAUUGAAUUGGCGGUGAAGUUUCUUAUGGAGAUAGCUUAACGCGAGGACGAGAGAGAAUUACAGUUGAUUAAAAUUUAUUAAUCUUAAAUAAACUAAUUAGUUUUAAAUUAAUAUUUAUCCAUUUUAAUUAGAUAGUAUCUUCAUAGUCCUCAGUCCUCACGUACAAAAUUAUACAAAUAGAACUGAAAAAUACUCCCUCCGUCCCAUGAAGCGUGACCCAUUUCUUUUCGGCAAGAGAAUUAAGAAAUUGGUAUUUUGUGUGUUAAGUGUGGUAGGUGAAAAAGUGAAAAGGUGAAUAAAGGGUAAAUUUUUUGCUAUUUUUAUAAACAUGUCAAGCUUCGUGGGACAACCUAAAAAGGAAAGUGGGUCACGCUUCGCGGGACGGAGGGGGUAGUAUUUGACAAGCUAUCCAUUUGAGAAGAGAGCAAAGCUUGAUCAUAGAAUUUGAUAGAUAUUAUAUGGCACAAAAUAGCAACUAAAUUGUAAAAUAAUUUUAAAUUUUAUACAUCAUGCGCUAAUUCGUAUUAAUAAUGCUAAGACUCUAAAAUUAUAUAGUAUUUGAUUGCAAUAAAUGGUAAAGUGCUAGUUGGUUAAUAACAAGUGUUGAGCAUGAGAAAAUUGUGUUACAUUGAAUCGACCAACUUAUAUACAAAAUGGUUCACGUCUUCGGCAAUUAAAUUUAGUUAGCCAUCAUGCAUCAGUUUACGGCCAAUAAUAUUAGGUUUCAGCCUUAAUUACUCGGUAACUCACGCGCAAUACCAACAAAUUAUUUAAUGUUUUGGCUCAGCACAAAUAAUUUGUUCAUGCGGAAAAAAAUCAAAUGAUAAUGGAUAAAUACUCUAGUUAUGAGAAAUGAAAAUGAAUAUAUAACAUUAAAUUUUCAAAUUUUAUGUCAGGUUAUAUUAUCUAGAAGGGGCGAAAUUUACAUGAAUUCGAAUUCUAAAGAAAACGAAAAAAUUUCAUCAACUAUUGGAUACAAUUAUUCAAUCAUUCGUAAAAAAAGAUAAUAUUAACAUAGGCUAAACGUAAUUAUCCAGUGUUCACAUAAGAUAUGUAGCAUAACAUUUUUUCUCAGACCAUGGACUCCAAAUUCUCUUAAUUUAAUUUAUGUUUUAAUGUUGAAAUUCAAAUUUCAAACUCAGUGUCAUAAAACUCCUCGGGCACAACUUUUGACUUUACGUUACCCAAACUUCCCCUCAAAUUAAGCCGGAUGAGAUCCCUCGUCCUAUAAUUUACUGUGUGUCACUGUGUUCCAUUCUUAAUUUCUCUAUUUUAUCAUAAUUGGAUAUAAUAAAAUAGUUAUAAGUAGUAUUUAUCACUAAAUAUUGAAAUUUUAAAAAAUUAUAUCUCAACUUUGAAUUAAUUAACCCAAAUAAUUUAUUAUUAGUUCAAAUAAAUAUAAAAUAUUCCCUCCGUCCACGAAAGAACUUCCUAUCUUUUCUUUUUGGGACGUCCACAAAAGAACUUCCUAUCUAUUUUUGGAUUAUACCCCACUACUUAUAAUCCUCUCUUAUUUUCACUUUUUCACACUCCUUAUUAUAACACUUUUCACUUCACCACUUUUAAUACUCCCUCCGUCCAAAAGUUGGCCACAUUUCCUUUUUGGGCGUCCCACUAAAGUUGGCUACUUUCCUUUUUGGGUAAAAAUUACACCAAAUUAAACUCUAUAAUUAAUCAACUAAUCUACACCUAAUUAAACCUAUCUUCUACACUCAAUUAAAAUUUUCUAAUUAAAUCUAAAUCACCUUUAUUUAAAAACACACACACAAAACACACACUAACACACGCACACAGCCACCCCACCUCCCCCCAGCGCCCCACCCCCUUAUCUCUUCUUCUCCGGCGGGUGCCACCCCCAUGGUGCCGCGCCUCCUCUCGCCCCUCCGGCCGCCGUCGUCGUGGUCUUCGCCGCGACCACCGCCGACCCUUUCCCUCUCCCUGGCCUCUGCUCUCUCCCUCUCGCCCCACCCCCUUCUCUCUUCUUCUCCGGCGGGUGCCACCCGCAUGGUCGCCGCCGCCUCCUCUCGCCUUUCCGGCCGUCGUCGUCGUCUCAACUAUCUCCCUCCCCCAGCGCUGCUCCGCCUCUCCGAUUUGGGGCUAGGGCUCCGCCUCUCCAGUCGGCGCUGCCUCUUCGAGGUGCGACUCCGGCGUCAGGGCGGCAGACCGAAAGAGAUCGAGGAUAGGCUGUGGUGUUCAAGCUCAAUGUGCACCGAUUUCCUGGGCAAGAUUCUGGUUUGGGCAAGAUCUGGGUAUGCGAUUUGGGGUUUGGUUUGGAGGAGAAAUGGAGUUUUUCAAUUGAUGUUACGCAUGUGCCUUUAGAUUGAUUAACAUGAAAGAUGAUUAAUUUUUAGAUGUUUUUGGCAUAUUCGUGUUUUCGAUUUUGUUCACACACUAUUUGGGGCCUGAUUUGGAGGAGAAAUGGAGGUGCGAAACAGGCGGGUAAAGGCGGUGUUUGGUUUUGGGGUCGUCGAUGUCGCCGGCGGCGGCGGCGGCGCCGGAGAAGAAGGUGAGAAGAAGAAGAAGAAGAAGAAGCGCCCAAUGCGAGAAGAAGAAGCACCAGAUUCAGUUUUUUUUUCCCUUAAUUAAUCAUUAAUUUUGAUGGGCCCCACUCAAUUAAAACAUAACACUCCAUUUCUUAAUCUCCGUGCCGAAAAGAAUGUGGCCAACUUUCUUGGGACGGAGGGUGUACUUUUAUACUAUCAUACACUCAACAAUAUUUUUUCUUAAAACCGUGUCACUCCCUCUAGAAGUUCUUUCAUGGACGGAGGGAGUAAUAAUUAUAAACUCUAAUUAGAUGAGUGAACCUCGUUCUUAUGUUAAAAUUAUAUUUAAAUAUAAUAAAUUAAAAUUUAAAAAUAUAUUAAAAAUAAAGAAAUUAAAGAGUAAAAUAUACGACACACAGUAAAUUAUGGAACGGAGAAUCUCAUCCGAAAUUCCUCUGCCAUCCAAUGUCUGAUUGCAAAUAGAAGAUGCCAUUAGAAAGCAUUCUAAUGAAAAAAAAAUUUAAUAUUGGGUACACUUGUGAAAAAAUUUAAUAUUGGGUACACUUAUGAAAAAAUUUAAUAUUGGGCCACUAAAUGAUAUUUUUCCUAUUAUACUUUAAAGGGCCCCAAGUCUAACAUACUUUGAAGGCCUAUUUUUCAAAGGCCCCUCCCACUCGCGCUACAGUUAUAGUUGAGCAUAAAAAAACUUGUGUCGAAGUUUAUAGGACAAAAAGCCUUUAUUUUGUUGGGCCAUAGUUUCACCAAAAGUUCACUGAUUUCUAAAAAACAUGUAUAAAUUACUUUCUCCGCCCCAUGAAGCUUAAGUAAUAUUUUUUUGUGCGUUGUUCCAUGAAACUUGAACACUUUCCUUAUUUGACAAAUACUAUUUUUUAUUUGUGUGUGUAUGUUGGUCAAGCGGUAAGGGGUUAAUGUUCAAGUUCAAAGGUCUUGAGUUUGAGUUCUCUGUGACGCGACCUUUAAAUUUUUUAUUUAAUACUAUUAGUUUCUCAACAAUAAAUUUAUUUUAUUCACCUUUACGCCUUUUCAUCUACUUAAAACCCGUGCCAAAAAUAAAUUUGCUCAAAUUGAACUUUGUAUUAGAGAUGUGAUUAAUCAAGAUAUUUACCCGUUUCAAAGAUCUAGAGAAAACAUAUCUGACAGUAAAAUCAAAAAUUUGUAAAAUUUGAUACUUUCUCCAUCCUGAAACAUCUUUAUUUGUUUCUUUUUCGUCUAUCCCUAAAACAACUUUCUAAUUUAUUUUUAAAAAAUAAUUUCACUAAUUAUUACUUUUAAAAUUUUCAUACAUUCACACAUUGCCACUAAUGGACCCAUCUCUUUUCAUUUUAAUUUAUCCAUUAGUCACUAUCAUCACUUUUUCUAUUCUCAUUUUUUCUAAUUUGUGGAACUCGUUCUGCACUCAUCAAAUAAGCAACUAUUAAAAUUACCGUUGUCUCCCCUUCAUUAGAAAGAGUUUUCAGGAACAUAGGGAGUAUUAUAAUUUGUGAGCAGCUAUUUUCCAGAUAUACAUCAUAUUGUGAAGUACUGAUAUAUAAAUUACGUACGAAGAAUUCAUAUAUUUUACUAUAUAUUUUCUCUUCAUACAAUUAACAAAUAAAAAUAACGAAAAGAUUAAGAAAAUUAACAAAUCAAACUUGGAAAACACAAGAAUAUAAUUAAGAGAUACGUAUAAUAUAUACAUUCUGUCGAUCAACGCGUUCUUUAUUGAAUUCAGUGUAUAAUUUGAUAUUGAGGUUUUUAAUCCGCCAAUCAACAUCGUUAAAAUUCCAAAAACAUUCAAGAAAAUCGAAAUAAAUUCCUCAAGAAGAUCAAAAGGCGGAUUUCGUCAAAAUUCUAAAUAUAUCAUCACUUUUAAUUCAAAGAUAGACUAAUUAAACAUCUUUAAUUUAAUGUUAUAGAGCAAAUAAAUCUAAUCCAAGAAAAUUAUAAGGCAUAUUUUAUUCGAAAUCCAGAUUGUCUAAAGAAAAAAAAAAUGAAAGUUAUCGAAGAGAAGAAAAAUAAGAGAUAGGUAGCUAGCUAGAGAUUAUUGAUCGACGAUGAUUAUCUACUUAUCUUUUUGACGAAAAAUGCUUAUUUAAUUUAUUAUGAUAUCGUUGAUGGAGUAAAAGGUUUACAUAAUACAUGAUCUAUAAACUAUACGAAUGUCAUUAAUUAUCCACUAUUGCAAGAUUUAUUGCCACGUCAUAGGAUAAAAAUCAUGUAUUAUUGAAAAAUUAAUUUCCAAAUUAAUACUCACUCCGUCCCACGAGUCUUGACACGUUUUCUUUUUUGGGCCAUCCCACGAAUCUUGACACGUUUCCUUUUUUGGCAAUAAUUAUUACCUUCUUUCUCCUACUUUAUCACCUUUAUUAUAUAUAUUCUCUCUCCUACUUUAUCACAUUUAUUACCUUCUCUCUCCUACUUUAUCAAUUUUAUACUCCCUUUGUCCCAGCUGAAAUGUCCUGCUUUCCUUUUUGGGUUGUCCCAGCUGAAAUGUCCUGCUUUCCUUUUUGGGUUGUCCCACUUGAAAUGUCCUGUUUCCUUUUUUGACAAACACUCUCUCUCUAUACUUAAUAUUUAAAUAAUUUCCACCAACCCACUUUAUCUACUUUAUACACAUUUCUUAAUCUCCGUGCCGAAAAGAAACAAGACAUUUAAGCUGGGACGGAGGGAGUACUUUAUUAAUUACACACUUAAAACACUAAUCUACAACUCCUUAAUUCCCGUGCCCAACCCAAACGUGUCAAGACUCGCGGGACGGAGGGAGUACAAUAUAUCUUGAAAAAUAAUUUUAGUGUGCUCAAGGAGACACCAAGCAGUGCGAACUCAUAGCUACGAACAGUGAGAUCCACCGCUCCCGCUCCCCUAAAGUAUCAAAAAAAAAAAUAGUAUUUGAAAUGAAUCUCAUUUAUUAUUAUUAUUAUUAUUAUUAUUAUUAUUAUUAUUAUAAUAUUAUUAUUAUUAUUAUUAUUAUUAUUAUUAUUAUUAUUAUUAUUAUAAUAUUAUUAUUAUUAUUAUUAUUAUUAUUAUUAUUAUUAUUAUUUUGAGUGGUUUCAUACAUGCAUGUUAUAAUUAAUUAGCUAGAAAUUGCGAUAGCAAUAAAUCAAGAGAGCCAAAACCCAUAUGAUGAAUAUGAUCAUCAACACAUCUUGAUCGACUCCUUCAAGAAAUUGUCUCCUGCUUAUCAAAUCCAUUCGAUUGAAGAUAAAAAAGGGUACAAACAUAUGAUCAGAAGCUUAAAAAAUUCAACAUUUCAGAACACAAACGUUACUCUAUUACACCAUCUGUUUAAUUUACAACACUAUAUAACAUAAACCUAAUUUUUAAAAAAAGGGACAAUAAAUCAAGAAAUGAACACAUAAUUCUGAAAUAUACUCCUCCGAAUCCGAUCCUCCAAAUUCUAAAACACAAUAUGCAGGAAAAUCAAGAAAUAUCUCCCUCCAAAUCCUCAUGCAACUUACCUCAUAUAUAAACUACAAACAUACGAUCAUAUAUAUAUCUUCUCUUACCAUGCAUAUCUCAUCUUUCUUCGCCUCAAAUAUUACCUGCCAAAAUCUGCAGAACUUCAAUCCAUGUAAAACUUUGCUAUAUUUGCAUGCAAUUAGAAACCCUAAUUUUAGAUAGUAUCGAAGAAGAAGGGAUCGCUGUAGUCCCAAAUGCCGGUGCCCGGGUACUCAUCCUCGUGCGGCAUCAACGGCCACGACGGCGACGCCGCGUAUCCGUUCAGCACCGCCGUCGGAUCCGACAGCGCCGGCGCAGCCGCGGGCUCGGUCGAGCACAGUGUGCUGAUCUCAUCGUACCCGAAACUUUGCGUAUUCUGAUUCUGAUUGUGUUGCAGAUUUUGGCAAUCGUGAUUAGGGUUUGGAUACGAAGAAUUCGCGUCGGAAUUAGCCCUAAUUGAGUUAGGGUCGGAUUCGGAAACCCUCAAAUCAGCCAUUCCGUACGGCUGCUGCUGCUGCGGCGGCGGCGGCGCAAUCGCCGCCUGCUGCGGCGGCAAUUGAGUUUGGGGCACGAUGUUGGGGUAUUGACGGCGGGGUACAACCCGUACUGCACGUAGUUCGUCAUCUGCGGCGGCGCCGCCGAAUACGUGAGGCCGAAGCCCGACGGCCGCGGCAGGAGGGGGCGGAGCGUCUGCGUCGACGACGACGACGACGAGCUGCUCCUCGACGACGACUGGGAGGACGAGCCGCCGCCGCCGUUGUUGGCGGCGGCGCCGCUGGAGGGCUGGAGGUUGAGCUGCGCCCUGGAGCCGUAGAGGAUGACGGCGGCGCGGUCGUAGGCGCGCGCGGCGUCCUCGGCGGUGGCGAAGGUGCCGAGCCAGCGGCGGGUGCGCUUCCUGGGCUCGCGGAUCUCCGCCACCCACUUCCCCCAGCUGCGCUGGCGGACGCCGCGGUAGCGGAACUUGCUGUUGUCGGGGCCGCCCUUGCCCUUGGGCUUCUUGGUGGCGGCGGCGUCGGUGGAGAGUGGGGGGGUGUUGUUGGGGAGGGGGCCUUGGGGAGGGUGAUGAUUAGGGUCUGAAAUUGCAGCACCGCUCAUGGUGAGUGGUGGGGGGGAGAGGUGGGGAAUUAAAAUUAAAGAAAAGUGGAGAGAGGGAGGGAGAAAGAGGGGUUUGGUUGCCUCGUUGUGUGUUUACCCAAUUGAGGAGACUGGGUGGGAAUGCCUCUGUGCAAAGGGCGUCGCCUGUAAAUGGUGGAAGAGGGCGGUGCUCAUGUGGACUCAGGGAAAAAAAUGUACUCUAAUACUGCGACUGUGUGUAUUCUACGCUUUUUUUAUACGUAUAUUUAUACGGCCGUGGUGGGGACAGGGGAGCUUGCUCUCUCCCAAAGAUACAUUCGAAUAUUGGGACAUGCAAAAUUUAUCAUUUCUUCAAUUGUACUGAAAUGAAUAUAUAUACAUACUUUCUCAUUCCCAAAUUAAUAUCAUACUGUAAUAAUCUGUGUUUGUGUGUAUUUUAAUAAUAAAUAAAUAAGAGAUAAAUAAUGAUUCUUUAUUGGGUGUAAGAUUAUAUGUUGGGGUUGUCGUUUAUCAUAUUAUGGGGUAUUAUUUAGUUACAAAUAUAAUUACUUGAAUAAGUAUAAUUGCUUGUAAUGAGUGUCAUAUAUGUUUAGUAAUAUUGUCUUAGAUUUGUUUGCAUGUUUAAUUUGUCAGGCUAUAUAUAUAUAUAUAUAUAUAUUUAUAAAAGCCCACUAGUUUGGUAUGUUAGUUUACCAUAGGAGUUAAACCAGCAGCGCCUUGAUCAAUGAUGAUGAAGAGAGAUUUGAUCAUCCAGCUACGUUGUAUCGUCAAAAUAAAAAGAAUUAUCGAGAGGGAAGCCCUUCAAUAUAUUUACUUUUCUAUUUAGUUUGAGUUAGAAAUUAGAAAACUGUCCCUCAGAAAAAGAAAUUAGAAAACUGAAAUUCGUAUUUUGACCUUUCACUUUUGUAAAGGGAAGCAAUACUACAAAAUUAAGAAUUUAAGAUUCGUGGUUCUAAUUCAAAUUUAAUAUUUAUUGUAAUUGUCUUUCAAUGAUAAAACUAACUAAUGUUGAUCUGGUACGAUACACAUAAUGUAAGUUUAUAGUAUUUGUAAGCUUGAAAUUGUAUUACAGAUUACAAAGGAAAAUGGACUCUCCUAGGGGGUGUAUUGGAUUGAGAUUUUGUAUGAUUUUAAAGGAUUUCGAAAGUCUAGGUGUAUUCAAUUAAGAUUUUUAAAAAUCCUUUAAAAUUCAGAGGUAUUCAAUCUAAAUUUUCUAAAGUCUUUUAAAAUCCAGAGAUAUUCAAACCAGACUUUUUAAAGCCUUUUAAAAUCAGGUGAUAUUCAACAUUUUAUGAAUUUUAAUAAUCCAUGGAUUCUGAUGGAUUGUCAAAAAAAAUACAAAGGACGAAAUCCGAGCUUCAAACUUGAGAUUUCGAUGGAUUCCUCUAAACUCCACGCGACUCCACGCUGAGUCUAUGGAUUUCGAAAGUCCUUUAAAAUCCAUGGACUUUUUAAAGUCCUUUAAAAUCCUACAAAAUCCCAAUCCAAUACACCUAGUGAUGAUCUUUUUGAAGCUUUCAUUCAUGCUCGUGAGUACUUUGUUCGUCGAGAAUCUAAUAGAGUUGUCCAUAAUUAUUUGGCGAAUUUCACUGCUCGUUCUUCUGGUGUAACUACCUAGAAGUCGGAUUUCCCUAUCUAACCUACAAAUAUUGUGCGUCGUAUAAUGACUCUUUUUUUCCCUAAAAAAAAUAAAAAUUAUACUGAUGAGGAUGGCAGAGAUUUCCGCUCUUAUAAAGAAAGGUCCAAAUAAGAUACCUCAAGCUAGCCCACCGAAAGCCCUAACAUAAGCAAUACACAACUGAAGUUAAAUUAUUAUAUUCGUAUUACUUUAAUAUUGUCGCAGGUUUAAAAGUCUCGUAUGGCAUUAUAAUUCAUUUUUUAUUAAAUAGGCCCAAGUAUUUUGUUAAAUAGACUUAUAAAUAUAUAUAGUGAAAAACCCCGAUAACUUUCCGUGGAUGUAGAUCUUCAUGAUCAAACCACGUAAAUCUUGAUGUCUUUUAUCAUUUUAUUUAUUUCUGCUGUUGAGAUUUAAAUCCAACUCAACAUAUACUAUAACAAAAAUAAAGUGAUAAUUUAUUAUAUAUAAAUUCUACAAUGACAUGUUUUAAAUUAUAUCUACAAACAUUACAACGACAUUAAGUAAUUGAAAUUUAGAAUUGGAUAUAAAGUAACAACUAAUUCCUAUUAAAUUAUGUGUAUUCAUCUUCUUAUUUUUUAAGAAAAAGAAGAAGAAUUGGAUAUCAUAUUUCAUCCCAUCCAGUUAAAACAACACAACACACACCAAAUAUAUUCAAUGUGGAAAUGUCGAAUAUAACAUAGGGUGGACUCCUGGUGUACGUAGUGGUGUGGAUAUACAUCCAAAUGAUACAGACAGAUAAUAUUUGUCAUUUUAAAAUAUAAUUGACACUUUUUGAUUAAAAAUUAAAAUAAUAAAUGUCACUUUUAUUUCAUU
rnacentral:lncRNA from 1 species